CUGGUAGAGUCACUGCUUCUAGACCAAGAGUCAUGGAUUGAACUCCCACCUUCAACAGAGGUUGAUUGCUGUUCACUUUAGGAAGUGAAUUUGAGAUCUAAGUAAAUUUCCGACAACCUUUGAAACAUCAUACAUCAGUUCAACAAUCAUGGUAACUGCUACAAAUAUUGAAUUAUGUCUCAAAACUUCAACUGAUCUCAAUGGGCCCACAAAACAACUUCACAUCCAGCCUGUUAAAUUAAAGAAAUGCCCAAUUUCUUUUCACUCCAAGAAUCACUUUUAUUUUUGACGCAUUGCUCAGUCAACUAGCAA